rnacentral:lncRNA from 10 species
CAGGAGGCCUGGUUCUAGCCCAAGCACAGUCUCCAGCUUAAGGAAUGACCUUAAGCAAGCACUUCUUCCCUCAGGGCAACAUUUAAAAAAAUAAGAAGAUUGGAUUGAUCAACAUUUUACUGCCUGUAUUUCACAGGACAUUCUCCUUUUAAUAUAUUUGCUUGAACCUUCUUGAAAACAGGACUCCAUGGACAAAUAAGGAGAGAGCCACCAUGUCAUGACAACACAUGUCAUGAGAAAGCCCUGAGGAGAUGUCCCUGUGGGGAGAAACUGAGACCUGCCACCAACAACUAGAAUCGCCUUGCCAGCCAUGUCUAACACCAGCAAUAUUUACACACCGAAGGCACGAGUAUGGCCAUUUGGGGGGCUGUGAUAUUGUUAUUGAGGAGUUUUCCAGAGAUAACUAGACAAGAGCUAGAAAACAAUGGAAGGAACUUUAGAAGCUCACAGGUGUGGAAAGGGAAGAUCUCAGUUUCAAUGGAGCAUUGGAUCUAUACAAGUCAAGAGGCAAAAAGUGGGCUUUGCUGAAGACUGAUGCUAAAGCUGAAUUCUGGACAAUGAGUAGCAAUGAGCCAUGUAAAGAAAAGGAAGUGAGUAGGUCCUGAGGCAAAACAGAGUUUGCCACGUUUGAGGAACUGUGAGAGAACUGUUGUUCCCAGUGGGAGAACACUAAGAAUGAAAUUGGCUCAAAAUGAGGCUGGAGAUGUAGGCUUAGAUUACAUAGGUUGGCCAGCAUAGGAAUUUUAGAUUUCAUUUUAAAAAUCAAUGGGGAAUCAUUAAAUUGCUUUAAGUUAGAGAGGAGGAAUAGCUGCAGAGCAAAUUUCCAUUUUUUAAAGAUUAUUUUAUGGGUAAGACUUCCAGAAUAGCCACCACCAUCCCCCCAUCACCACAUAACCCCCCCCACCACCUCCCCCCACCAUACUCCCACAUUCCCCCCAUAUCCCCCACCACAACAUCCCCACCACCACCACAUACCCACCACAUCCCCCCCACCACAUCCCCCCCACCACCACAUCCCCCCCACCACCUCCACCACCUCCACAUCAUCCCCA